rnacentral:tRNA from 1 species
GGGAGAGUUCCCGAGUGGCCAAAGGGGGCAGACUGUAAAUCUGUUGUCGUCGACUUCGGUGGUUCGAAUCCACCCUCCUCCACCA